rnacentral:misc_RNA from 1 species
AUUUAGUGCGUGAGGGAUUGCAAUGAAAAUCCCACAGCCUGACUGGAAGGAAGUGCGAGGAAUUGUAAUGUAAAGCCCGACCCAAA